ensembl:lncRNA
GUAGGACUGUUCCGUUAGGAGGUAGGACCGUUCCGUUAGGAGGUAGGACUGUUCCAUUAGGAGGUAGGACCGGUCCGUUAGGAGGUAGGACCGGUCCGUUAGGAGGUAGGACACUUCCGUUAGGAGGUACGACCGUUCCGUUAGGAGGUAGGACCGUUCCGUUAGGAGGUAGGACUGUUCCGUUAGGAGUUAGGACCGUUCUGUUAGGAGGUAGGACACUUCCGUUAGGAGGUAGGACACUUCCGUUAGGAGGUAGGAUACAUCCGUUAGGAGGUAGGACUGUUCCGUUAGGAGGCAGGACACUUCGGUUAGGAGGUAGGACUGUUCCGUUAGGAGGUAGGACACUUCGGUUAGGAGGUAGGACCGUUCCGUUAGGAGGUAGGACCGUUCCGUUAGGAGGUAGGACCGUUCCGUUAGGAGGUAGGACUGUUCCGUUAGGAGGUGGGACUGUUCCGUUAGGAGGUAGGACACAUCCGUUAGGAGGUAGGACCGUUCCGUUAGGAGGUAGGACACAUCCGUUAGGAGGUAGGACCGUUCCGUUAGGAGGUAGGACACAUCCGUUAGGAGGUAGGACCGUUC